rnacentral:lncRNA from 11 species
UUUAAAUCUGAUUUAAAUUGGAGUGGUUACUCAGCACAUUCUCAGUUUGUGACUCAUCAAGAGCUACCUUUCUUUCUUUUAAUUUUUUUUAUUGAAAGCACCCAUCAAAUAAGGCACAGAGUAGCAAUCCUUAAUUUCUACCCCGCCUUUCUGUUAAAGUUUCCAUUAACAAAAGAUUUUUCUAUGCUAGGAUCAGUGAGUCCUUUUUUGACCAAGGCUCCUCAUUGUUCUCAGAGUCUUCAAUAAAGCACAAUGGGGUUUCCACUGAUGUUAAAAUAACCACCUUUUGGGAUGAAGGGACUUCUAACAUUAAAGCAUGAAGAGGUAUUUGCGUGCCAGGAGAACACCAAGAAGAAGAAAAAAGGAGUGGGUUAUUCAUCUAAGACAUUAAAAAAGAUUAAAUCUUAUAUUCAAGAAUAUCAGGUGGAAUACAACAACAGCAACACCACGUCAUUCAAGUUUCAAAACAGUAGCUUUGCCAUGCUCUACUAUUCGGCAAGUUUAAUAGAAACCCAAAAAAGACAUCUCAUCCUCAUGCCAAGUUAAUAAAAGCAGUUAUGCUUUUCUUGGACAUUUCCGUGAAUGGGGUUACAUAAUUCUACACAGGUGAUGGCAGUUUUCUGCUUUCUGAAAAGGGCAAAUUUCUACAAGUCUAAGAGCUGAAAGAGGAUCUUCCUGCCCCUCCUUCUCUGUACAAGUUAAUAAACUGGAUCAUCAUGUACGCCUUUCUGACUUACAUUUGUAACUCAUUCCUUUAGUCUCCCCGUAGCUAGAGGGGCCUUUUACCCAUCUGCUGAGUAGACUGUUGGAUUAAUAUUUUCAAUUUAUUGUCAGACUCCAGCUAUAGCCGAGGCAAGGGCGCACUAAUGUCUGCCCAAAAGCAGUACAUUAAAAUAGCUCUUUCC